AACCUACCCUUAUCUGGGAGAUACACUUGGGAAACUGAGCUCAAUACCCCAUAGCUCUAAUUUUCUGGAAUGAUUUUAGAGUAAAAGCUACGGCGGAUAAGGAUGGGACUGCACGCUAUCAGGCUGUUGAUGGUGUAAAGAACCAUCAAACCGAUAACGGCUACGGGCUAUGGGAGUAGAAGCCCGGAGAUGGACUCUGAGACAUGAGUCCAGGUCUUACGAGACGCAGCAGGCGCGAAAACUUUGCAAUUCGCUAACGCGAGACAAGGGAACUUGGAGUGUUCUUGCUAUGCAAGAACUUUUAUCUUCUGAAAACAGGAAGGUGAAUAAGGUCUGGGGAACACGGGUGCCAGCCACCGCGGUAAUACCCGGGGACCGAGUGAUGGCCAGUAUUAUUUGGUCUAAAGCGUCCGUAGCCGGUUCAACAAGUCCCUAGUGAAAUCUUUCAGCAAACUGAAAGGCGUGCUUGGGAUACUUUUGAACUUGAGACUGAGAGGGGAUAGGGAUACUCUCAGGGUAGGGGUAAAAUCCUGUAAUCCUGAGAGGAUCACCAGUGGCGAAGGCGCCUAUCUGGAACAGGUCUGACGGUGAGGGGCGAAGGCUAGGGGAGCGAUUGGGAUUAGAUACCCCAGUAGUCCUAGCAGUAAACGAUGCCCGCUUGGUGUUGCAGGCUUUCUCG
rnacentral:rRNA from 1 species